UUAUCGUUUAUUUGAUAGUACCUUUACCUGGAUAACCGUGGUAAUUCUAGAGCUAAUACAUGCUAAAAAUCCCGACUUCGGAAGGGAUGUAUUUAUUAGAUAAAAAACCAAUGCCCUUCGGGGCUCCUUGGUGAUUCAUAAUAACUUAACGAAUCGCAUGGCCUUGCGCCGGCGAUGGUUCAUUCAAAUUUCUGCCCUAUCAACUUUCGAUGGUAGGAUAGUGGCCUACCAUGGUCUCAACGGGUAACGGGGAAUUAGGGUUCUAUUCCGGAGAGGGAGCCUGAGAAACGGCUACCACAUCCAAGGAAGGCAGCAGGCGCGCAAAUUACCCAAUCCCAAUUCGGGGAGGUAGUGACAAUAAAUACUGAUACAGGGCUCUUUUGGGUCUUGUAAUUGGAAUGAGUACAAUCUAAAUCCCUUAACGAGGAACAAUUGGAGGGCAAGUCUGGUGCCAGCAGCCGCGGUAAUUCCAGCUCCAAUAGCGUAUAUUAAAGUUGUUGCCGUUAAAAAGCUCGUAGUUGAACCUUGGGCCUGGCUGAUCUGUCCUCCUA
rnacentral:rRNA from 1 species